rnacentral:tRNA from 1 species
GAGUAAGAAGCUAAUGGAGCAUUUGAUUGUUACUCAAAUAUUAGCAUAGUUUAACUUAUGCCUUCCUCG